GAUGAACGCUGGCGGCGUGCCUAAUACAUGCAAGUAGAACGCUGAAGGAGGAGCUUGCUCUUCUGGAUGAGUUGCGCACGGGUGAGUAACGCGUAGGUAACCUGCCUGGUAGCGGGGGACAACUAUUGGCAACGAUAGCUAAUACCGCAUGACAACAGUUAUUGCAUGAUAACUGUUUAAAAGGGGCAACUGCUCCACUACUAGAUGGACCUGCGUUGUAUUAGCUAGGUGGUGCGGUAACGGCUCACCAAGGCGACGGUACAUAGCCGACCUGAGAGGGGGAUCGGGCACACUGGGACUUGGAAAAGGCCCAGACCUCCUACGGAAGCAGCAGGAGGGGAUCUUCGGCAAUGGGCGGAAGGCUGACCGAAGAACGCCGCGGGAGUGAAGAAGGGUUUCGGAUCGUAAAGGUCUGUUGUAAGAGAAGAAAGAGUAGGAGGGUGGAAAGUUCACGCUGUGACGGUAUCUUAACAGAAAGGGACGGCUAACUACGUG
rnacentral:rRNA from 1 species